UUCUAUGUUUUUUUUUUAUAUUUUGUUUAAAUUAUGUAGGCAACGUUUUAUACUAAGUCGAAAGUUUUUCGUAUUUUGUUAUUUGUAAGCUCUACUGUAAUAUACCGUAAAGGAUCUUUUCCCUUCAUUGUAUAUUUAUUUUAAAUACAUGACGUAGAAGUCAAAGUUAUACUAGUGGAAUACUUUCGUUACCAACUAUGAGUGCGAGCGAUGGAUACAAAAUAAUUGGACUUGUGCCGCUCUUUACAAGCAGUAUUAUAAAGUGUAAAACUGCCUUAAAUUAAAGCAAAUGAUCAUAUGCACGAAGCAGGAAUGGUUGUCUAAUGCUAGUUCGGUUUGGCCUGAAUCGUCCACACCGACAAGCACUGCAACAAAAAUUCAUGUACAAGAAUGCUGUCGGAAAAUACAAUGAGAGCUCUUUAAUUUUCUUUACAUUUUCUACUAUUGAUUUUCUUUUUACUUAAAAAUACAGUGAAAUAAACCACAAAAACUUAUGAUCAAAUGAAA